UACGUAGGCAGCAAGCGUUGUUCGGAGUUACUGGGCGUAAAGGGUGUGUAGGCGGUUCUUUAAGUUUGCUGUGAAAUCUCCCGGCUUAACCGGGAGGGUGCGGUGAAUACUGAGGGACUAGAGUACGGGAGAGGAAAGUGGAAUUCCUGGUGUAGCGGUGAAAUGCGCAGAUAUCAGGAGGAACACCAGCGGCGAAGGCGGCGCUCUGGGCCGGAACUGACGCUGAGGAGCGAAAGCGUGGGGAGCGAACAGG
rnacentral:rRNA from 1 species